GAGAGAGAGAGAGAGAGAGAGAGGGGAGAGCGGGUGGAGAGACGUCGGCGGCGGUGACACGAUGGUGGCGUUGAAGGUUCCGGUAAAUGAACCGACUACCGGCAAUUCCGAUUGUGGUUCUGCUGGCGAACGAAUAUCAUCAGAGCAUGGGGUCGGCGAUGGUAGUUUCCGGCAAUUAAGGCUUGUAGGAUAUUACUAUCUUCAUGAAUAGUUUGCUGAAUUCUCCAGGUCAAGGUAUAAGUGUAUAACAAGGUUUUUGGCAUGGGUCGAUGUGUUAUGUUACAUGAAUUAGGUCUAAUCAUUGUCCUGUCCUUGUCUGAGAUUUGAUGCAGGCUACCUUUUUAAUUAUCAGACAAGUGAAUUUUACAACUUUACAUAUGCACAAAAGCAACCAGAACGAUCAACAAAUGGAGUUGACAACUUCAAUUGAAAAAGCUAGAAGAUAUAAUUCCCUCUUCCCAUAGCUCUGAUAUAGACAGAGACUAAGAGAGAGAAACUAGAGAAAGGGAGAGCACAGAGAGAGAGAGAGAGAGAAAGUGAGAUGUGGAAGAAAGAGCGAGAGAUUCGGACCAUGGAAUGUAAGAUGCACGAGAAUGAGAGCGGUGACGGGGUGGUGGCUCGAAGUCGAAAUAGAGACGGGGUGGGUAAAAACGUUAGCGGCUCAGGGUCCUUCUCUUUCCGGCAAAGAUGAUGUUGAUGAGAUUCAUGAGUGUAUGGCGUUCGAGCCUUUAGCCAUCGGUUCAGUUGGUUUCAAUUGUUUAUGGAGUAUGACACCCCUACUUUAAAAUAAUGCCUUGAAGAGGCAUCUUCUGCUCUGUGGACAAUAGGAACUUAAGAAAAGAACUGACAGGGUUGAAGAGGAGGUUUUUGUUGUUGCCAUAGGCCAGGUUCCACUUCUACCAAUUGCAGAAAGACAUUCUGAAGACUGAAUCCUCACAACUUCAAAUGAUCAAACUCGUGGAUUUUCAUGGAGUCAAUGAUGCUUUUGAGUUAGGUGUAAAGUUCUCCUACGGAAUCACGAUCACUCUAAGCGCCUACAAUAUCGUAGCUGCUCAAUGUGCAGCCAAAUACCUUCAACUGACGGAAGAUGUUGAAAAGGGCAAUUUAGUUCACUAAUUGGGAAGUAUUUUUCAGCUCUUGCAUUCUCAAUGGUUGGAAAGAUUGCAUUGUCGCUCACUCGCUCUUCAUGCCACAAAACCAUUCUAAUUAUGGUUCAGAUGAGUUGGGAAUCACAAGCCGGUGUAUAGAAUCCUUGGUGUCAAAAGUAUCUUCCAACCCUUUGAAGGUGAGUGUAUCACGUAGCCAUUCGAAUAAAAAAAGGAGAUAGAAGAAGUUCAUACAACCAAAAGGUGGUGGGGUGAGGAUCUUUAGAUGACAGCUAAAGUUUGUGAUUUGACGAUCCAAUCUGUAUCAAAAGAUAAUGAUACCAUAUACAAUCAUGACAUAGAUUGUUUGAAAUC
rnacentral:lncRNA from 1 species